rnacentral:rRNA from 1 species
UACGGGGGGGGUAAGCGUUGUUCGGAAUUACUGGGCGUAAAGGGCGCGUAGGCGGCCCGCUAAGUCGAACGUGAAAUCCCCGAGCUCAACUCGGGAACUGCGUCCGAUACUGGUGGGCUUGAAUCCGGGAGAGGGAUGCGGAAUUCCAGGUGUAGCGGUGAAAUGCGUAGAUAUCUGGAGGAACACCGGUGGCGAAGGCGGCAUCCUGGACCGGCAUUGACGCUGAGGCGCGAAAGCUAGGGGAGCAAACGGG